rnacentral:ncRNA from 1 species
AAGGUUCGCUUUUUGAAGAAAAAGGGAUUAAUAGGGAAACCGGUGCGAAUCCGGUACAGCUCCCGCUGCCGUAUUGAGGGAUGGACGGGCGACGCGCAUAGCGGCGCGACCACUGGCCUAAUGGGCUGGGAAGGUGCCCCGAGGAACCCAGAUGAACUCAGAGUCGGAAGACCUGCCUUUGGCGUA